rnacentral:rRNA from 1 species
AAAAUAUAAGUGUAUAAAUUUAAGUAUUGCAUACUAUUUAAAAAAAAUUUUAUUGGUAAUAAAAUAUAGAAUUAAAAGGUAGAAAAUAUAUUAUUUUUAUUGUUUCAUAAUAAGAAUUAUAUAUAUUAGAGUUGAAAAGUCGACUUUUAGGAUAUCUGUUUUAUUUAUUAUAUUAGAAAAUUAUGUAGUUGUAUAAAAAGUUUAUAAAAUGUAAAAGUUGAAGUAUUUAUUAGUUUAGUUUUAUAACUGUUUAUAAAAUAUGUAUUGAAGUUAAAUAUAACUAAAUUUAUUAAAAUAUUAAUAAAUUAAUUAUUUUAAAAUUAGUAAUUAUAAAAAUUAAUUAUUAUUAAUUAAUAUAAUAAAAUAACUAAAUAGUUAAUCAAAUGUUUUUUAAAGACUUAGAUUUUUAAAUAAAGUUUGCUUCUGCCCAAUGAAAAAUUAAAUGGCACUCUUAGCGU